rnacentral:rRNA from 1 species
UACAGAGGGGGCAAGCGUUGUUCGGAUUCAUUGGGCGUAAAGGGUGUGUAGGUGGCGCCGUAAGUCGGGUGUGAAAUUUCGGAGCUUAACUCCGAAACUGCAUUCGAUACUGCCGUGCUUGAGGACUGGAGAGGAGACUGGAAUUUACGGUGUAGCGGUGAAAUGCGUAGAUAUCGUAAGGAAGACCAGUGGCGAAGGCGGGUCUCUGGACAGUUCCUGACGCUGAGGCACGAAGGUCAGGGGAGCAAACGGG